GGUGAAAAGCACCCCGGAAGGGGAGUGAAAUAGAACCUGAAACCGUGUGCUUACAAGUAGUCAGAGCCCGUUAAUGGGUGAUGGCGUGCCUUUUGUAGAAUGAACCGGCGAGUUACGAUUUGAUGCAAGGUUAAGCAGUAAAUGUGGAGCCGUAGCGAAAGCGAGUCUGAAUAGGGCGUUUAGUAUUUGGUCGUAGACCCGAAACCAGGUGAUCUACCCUUGGUCAGGUUGAAGUUCAGGUAACACUGAAUGGAGGACCGAACCGACUUACGUUGAAAAGUGAGCGGAUGAACUGAGGGUAGCGGAGAAAUUCCAAUCGAACCUGGAGAUAGCUGGUUCUCUCCGAAAUAGCUUUAGGGCUAGCCUCAAGUGAUGAUUAUUGGAGGUAGAGCACUGUUUGGACGAGGGGCCCCUCUCGGGUUACCGAAUUCAGACAAACUCCGAAUGCCAAUUAAUUUAACUUGGGAGUCAGAACAUGGGUGAUAAGGUCCGUGUUCGAAAGGGAAACAGCCCAGACCACCAGCUAAGGUCCCAAAAUAUAUGUUAAGUGGAAAAGGAUGUGGCGUUGCCCAGACAACUAGGAUGUUGGCUUAGAAGCAGCCAUCAUUUAAAGAGUGCGUAAUAGCUCACUAGUCGAGUGACACUGCGCCGAAAAUGUACCGGGGCUAAACAUAUUACCGAAGCUGUGGAUUGUCCUUUGGACAAUGGUAGGAGAGCGUUCUAAGGGCGUUGAAGCAUGAUCGUAAGGACAUGUGGAGCGCUUAGAAGUGAGAAUGCCGGUGUGAGUAGCGAAAGACGGGUGAGAAUCCCGUCCACCGAUUGACUAAGGUUUCCAGAGGAAGGCUCGUCCGCUCUGGGUUAGUCGGGUCCUAAGCUGAGGCCGACAGGCGUAGGCGAUGGAUAACAGGUUGAUAUUCCUGUACCACCUAUAAUCGUUUUAAUCGAUGGGGGGACGCAGUAGGAUAGGCGAAGCGUGCGAUUGGAUUGCACGUCUAAGCAGUAAGGCUGAGUAUUAGGCAAAUCCGGUACUCAUUAAGGCUGAGCUGUGAUGGGGAGAAGACAUUGUGUCUUCGAGUCGUUGAUUUCACACUGCCGAGAAAAGCCUCUAGAUAGAAAAUAGGUGCCCGUACCGCAAACCGACACAGGUAGUCAAGAUGAGAAUUCUAAGGUGAGCGAGCGAACUCUCGUUAAGGAACUCGGCAAAAUGACCCCGUAACUUCGGGAGAAGGGGUGCUCUUUAGGGUUAACGCCCAGAAGAGCCGCAGUGAAUAGGCCCAAGCGACUGUUUAUCAAAAACACAGGUCUCUGCUAAACCGUAAGGUGAUGUAUAGGGGCUGACGCCUGCCCGGUGCUGGAAGGUUAAGAGGAGUGGUUAGCUUCUGCGAAGCUACGAAUCGAAGCCCCAGUAAACGGCGGCCGUAACUAUAACGGUCCUAAGGUAGCGAAAUUCCUUGUCGGGUAAGUUCCGACCCGCACGAAAGGCGUAACGAUUUGGGCACUGUCUCAACGAGAGACUCGGUGAAAUCAUAGUACCUGUGAAGAUGCAGGUUACCCGCGACAGGACGGAAAGACCCCGUGGAGCUUUACUGUAGCCUGAUAUUGAAAUUCGGCACAGCUUGUACAGGAUAGGUAGGAGCCUUUGAAACGUGAGCGCUAGCUUACGUGGAGGCGCUGGUGGGAUACUACCCUAGCUGUGUUGGCUUUCUAACCCGCACCACUUAUCGUGGUGGGAGACAGUGUCAGGCGGGCAGUUUGACUGGGGCGGUCGCCUCCUAAAAGGUAACGGAGGCGCUCAAAGGUUCCCUCAGAAUGGUUGGAAAUCAUUCAUAGAGUGUAAAGGCAUAAGGGAGCUUGACUGCGAGACCUACAAGUCGAGCAGGGUCGAAAGACGGACUUAGUGAUCCGGUGGUUCCGCAUGGAAGGGCCAUCGCUCAACGGAUAAAAGCUACCCCGGGGAUAACAGGCUUAUCUCCCCCAAGAGUUCACAUCGACGGGGAGGUUUGGCACCUCGAUGUCGGCUCAUCGCAUCCUGGGGCUGUAGUCGGUCCCAAGGGUUGGGCUGUUCGCCCAUUAAAGCGGUACGCGAGCUGGGUUCAGAACGUCGUGAGACAGUUCGGUCCCUAU
rnacentral:rRNA from 1 species